AGCGGCUCUCCAGCCCUCCCGAUCUCUGUGCAACACCUUCACCCUUGUCCCACCCCCACCACCCGCCGCUUUGGGGCAUUUUUUGGGUUUUUUUAUUUGUGAUUUUUUUUGUUUAUCUUGUUGUGGGUUUUUUUAUUGGUUUUUUGUUUUUUCCGCUCCUCCACUCUCCUGCAGCGAGUUAAAUAUUUCUUUUGUUAAUUGACGCCCGAAGUGUUCCCAAUCCUUUCCCCGCGUUGCCCGGGCCGACCGAGGACGUGUGCACGCCCAGAUCCGCUCGGUGAAGCAGCACAGAGCCACGGGGCCGAGCGGGUAUGUGCGUGAGGAGGAGGAGGAGGUGGUGUAAAAGGAGCGACGGCACAAAGCAGAUUUGAGAGGAAUCAUUUAACUCCUGUGUUUGUUGUUUUUCAGGGGUUUGCUUUUUCCCUUCUCUCUGUCUCCUUUCUACCUUUUUUUCUGCUCAGGAUUUAAAUGUCACUCAAAGCAUCCCCAGAUCAGCUUUCCGCUCGUCUCCGGUUUCUUCCGAGGCAUUAAUUGGAUCACACACUGCAUUUGAAGAGCUUGGGUGUUUUACCCACUAAGGAAAUUUGCUCCAUCUCCAGCAGCAACCACUGCUCCUUUUGAUGUUGUGGUACGCCGUGCGCAUGCGCUUCACAUUAGAAUUACUGCACUGGCCAGAAUAAGUUGGAUCUCCUCUUCACUGAAAACCUAAAUCAUAUCAAAAGCUAAAGGGAUGCUGAGAGUCCGGAAAAAGGGUUACUUUGGGAUUUGGUCAUUCCCUUUAAUAAUAGCUGCGGUGUGUGCACAGAGUGUCAAUGACCCUAGUAAUAUGUCACUGGUGAAAGAGACCGUGGAUAGACUGCUGAAGGGCUAUGAUAUUCGCUUGAGGCCAGAUUUUGGAGGUAAUUUGAUUGCUUUUGCAUAAGAGAGGUUGUAUAUCCGGGCUGGGUGCGUUUUGUGUGGGGGCGAUUUCAAACGGUUUGUGGGUGCUGUUGCUUUGGGGGAGUGUGUGUGUUGCCAUUUCCUAUAGCUGAUCCAAAGUUAAACCUAUCGUUUCUCAAUUUUCUUAGCACAGGAAUGCGAUCACUUAAAUUACUUGUAUAUCAGUAAUCGGUCCCUCAUUAUGUGUGUGUGGGUGUGAUGAUACUUUACUAACCUGGAAUUAAACCCUUAUUUAACUGGUUUUAUCGAGAUGCAAAUCUCUUUUAAGUUCACCCAACGCUUGUUCCUUCCAGCCUAAUGUGCCUGUGAUCACAGUUACUAUUUUCGAGUACAAGAUGUGCUGUUAACUGAUACAAAAAUGUCAUUUAACCCCCUCCGUGCUCCUACUUCGAACUAGUUUGUUUAUUUCGGACGUGUUCGCUGUGGGUGGCCCUUUCCCCCCGCGCUUGUCCCAUCCCUU